UAUCUGGUUUAUCCUGCCAGUAGUCCACGCUUGUCUAAAAGAUUAAGCCAUGCAAGUCUAAGUAUAAGCAAUCUAUACUGCGAAACUGCGAACGGCUCAUUAAAUCAGUUGGAAUCUACUCGAUGGUCUUCUCUACAUGGAUACCUGUGGAAAAUCUAGAGCUAAUACAUGCACAAAAGCCCCGUCAGGGGUGUAUUUAUUAGAUAAAAGCCAGCGCCUUCGGGCCACGGUGAAUCAUAAUAACUGUUCGAAUCGCAUGGCCUUGCGCCGGCGAUGCUUCGAUCGACCAUCUGCCCUAUCAACUUUCGAUGGUAGGAUAGGGGCCUACCAUGGUGACGACGGGUAACGGGGAAUAAGGGUUCGAUUCCGGAGAGAGAGCCUUAGAAACGGCUCUCAGGUUUAAGGACUGCAGCAGGCGCGCAAAUUACCCAAUCCCGAUUCGGGGAGGUAGUGACAAGAAAUAACAAUGCAGGGCCCCUUGUGGGUCUUGCAAUUGGAAUGAGAGCAACGUAAAUCCAUCAUCGAGGAUCCACUAGAGGGCAAGUCUGGUGCCAGCAGCCGCGGUAAUUCCAGCUCUAGUAGCGUGCAUUAAAAUUGCUGCCGUUAAAACGCUCGUAGUCGCACUACAGCGCCAAGACGGCCGGUCCACUCUCUGAGUGCGUACUGGACCCGUCUGACGCUUUAAUCCUGGUUGCCGUCCGUGUCGUUUAUUCGGCGCGGGCGGUUGACCAGGGACCCUACCUUGAAAAAAUCAGAGUGUUCAAAGCAGGCUUAUUCGCCCGAAUACAUUAGCAUGGAAUAAUCGAAUAGGACGCGCGGUCCUGUUUGUGUUGGCUUCAAGACCGCCGUAAUGAUGAAUAGGGGCAGUUGGGGGCUUUUGUAUUCGAACGUCAGAGGUGAAAUUCUUGGAUUGUUCGAAGACAAACUACUGCGAAAGCAUUAGCCAAGGAUGCUUUCAUUGAUCAAGAACGAAGGUGUGGGGAUCGAAAACGAUUAGAUACCGUUGUAGUCCACACAGUAAACGAUGCCGACUGGGGAUCGGACGAGGCUUAUUUUAUGACUCGUUCGGCACCCAAAGAGAAAUCUUGAGUUUAGGUUCGGGGGGGAGUAUGGUCGCAAGGCUGAAACUUAAAGGAAUUGACGGAAGGGCACCACCAGGUGUGGAGCCUGCGGCUUAAUUUGACUCAACACGGGAAAACUCACCAGGUCCAGAGAUGCUUAGGAUUGACAGAUUGAGAGCUCUUUCAUGAUCGUAUCGUUGGUGGUGCAUGGCCGUUCUUAGUUGGUGGAGUAUUUGUCUUGGUUAAUUCCGAUAACGAACGAGACCCCGAGCUGCUAAAUAGCCCGGCCGGCUUUGGCUGGCCGCCGGCUUCUUAGAGCGACGUCCGGCGUUUAGCCGGAGGAAGUGGGGCAAUAACAGGUCUGUGAUGCCCUUAGAUGUUCUGGGCCGCACGCGCGCUACACUGACAGAGCCAGCGAGUUCACACCCACCUUGGCCGGAAGGCCUGGGCAAUCUUGUGAAACUCUGUCGUGAUGGGGAUAGAGCAUUGCAAUUAUUGCUCUUCAACGAGGAAUACCUUGUAAGCACAAGUCAUCAGCUUGUGUUGAAUACGUCCCUGCCCUUUGUACACACCGCCCGUCGCUACUUUUGAUUGAGGCAGUAGGUGAGGCUGCGAGAGGGACGUCUGAUGCGGGCAACUGCAAUAGAUGUCCCGACCGCAUACGAAUCUGCUGUCUUAGAGAAAGUAAAAGUCGUAACAAGGUUUCCGUAGGUGAACCUGCGGAAGGAUC
rnacentral:rRNA from 2 species